rnacentral:rRNA from 1 species
AGUCACUGACAUUAGAUACCCGUGUAGUCCCAGCUGUAAACGAUGCAGACUAGGUGUUUGGACGGCCACGUGCCGCUCUAGUGCCGCAGGGAAGCUGUUAAGUCUGCCGCCUGGGGAGUACGAUCGCAAGAUUGAAACUUAAAGGAAUUGGCGGGGAGCACCACAAGGGGUGAAGCUUGCGGUUUAAUUGGAUUCAACGCCGGAAAUCUUACCGGGACCGACAGCAACAUGAAGGCCAAGCUGAAGACUUUGCCGGAUUAGCUG